rnacentral:lncRNA from 1 species
AGGAAUACCUUGUCCAUCCCAACGAGUGAAUGGGAGAAACGCACUCGUUAAAGCCACUCAAAAGAGAAAAUGGGAGUGAUCGAUCUUGGUAACCCGGUAACGAGACGCUCCACUCCCACAAGCCUGGGAGCCUACUCGUUAGCGUCACCUUGCCCCGUGAUCCAAAUGGAAAGGCUCAGCAAUUCUCCAGCAUACCAAGGGUGGCGCGGAUCUAUAUCCUACCCCACAGCUGGGGUAGGAUAGACUCUCCAGGGCUCGGCCGUGUCCCCGUACUGCUUCCUCCAACUGCGCCAUAGCCCCGAUUUUGAGUCUCCGUUGUAUGCCAAGGAUCGCGAUACCGUGGACCGCCAGGAUCCAGGCA